CCUUAGUUUAAAAUCUGCCUAGUGCACAAUAUGAAGAUGCACUAUUUGAUAUUCACAAAGUUCGUCGAAUACUAUGGACGCUCGGAGGUGUCGUAAAUUUCCAUGUCGUACUUUUCGAUUAACUGGCUAGGUGGCUCACGGUUUGCCUGUGUAUAAAGGUUUUCACAGUGAUACUUGGAGUGAUAUUAUAUAACAUUGAUGGUAAGUGGUUUGUUUAAGCGCUUCUCAACUUUUCGACCCGGGUUCAAUCCCCGUUCCCAGAAGCAUGUGAGUUUGGUGGUCAUCAUACCGAACAGUUUCCUCAGGGUACUCCGGCUUCCCCCAUUACACAAGACAAUACCAAAAAUAAUAAGAACCAACAGAGGUCCUUCGAAGGUCCGGAAAGACGUGCGACUGAGUGACGGAAUAUUCACAUAGGGUCUUUGUAAACAAAAGGUCACAACUUUAAUAAUAAAACUAAAAGUCAUUGAAGGUAGAAGUCGGUACAAGCCCAGAAGCUUAGUUUGGAUCAGAAGCCAUAUUAAGAUAGUGAACGAUUUCGUAAAAUUCCAGAGCUUCGCUUACACAAGGGUGGGCUAAAUUUAGGCCAGGAGCCUCAUUGAGGCAUAUGUUUUCCGAAACCAAGAGCUUCCUUAACAGUUCGGUCAGCGUUAUUGAAGCCUGAAGUCCCCCUCCACAUGUUGCACUGUGUAUAUGUAAGCAACUGAAUUUGUUUUUGUAUAGCAAUCAAUCGAAGGCAAAAUAGCCACUGAAAUUGUGAGGCUUGCAAAUAGUGUGCGUUGGCGGCCUCUGUAAGUCGGCCUCGUGCUUCACUGUUUUUACAAUAGGGGCUUUUCCAGAAUCAUCAAUUAAAAUAAACUAUACAAUUACGUGAAACAUGACGCUGCAUCUAAGAUAUAAAGCAUAGCAUCACAACAAAACUGGAAUACAAUAAUGGUAUUCGACUGUGAUAUUAUAUAAUAAGUUAUUGAAGAAUUUUUCACAGUGUAAUAUUUGAAAUCAAGAAAGCCGAAUUCCUUAAGGCGCUCAUCUGGAACCCGUAAAAAGCUGUUCUAAUUUUGUUUUAAACAUAUUAUGAAACUUGUCACAAAUCCCGCAUUAUCCUUCAGGCAUGUCUUUCGCACGAAAUACACUUUUCACUCGACCCAGAUAUCGUUUGUAAACUGUAAACUAACCAAGUAUACAUUGUUUAAUUCAUUAAUCAGCUCAUCUCCGCACUUGUUGCAUAUUCAGAAUAAGAACGUAAUAAAAAUUGUCACAAUAACAAGCAUACAAACAAAGCA